rnacentral:misc_RNA from 1 species
CACCAGUCCAGCCUCGCUGGGUCUUGGGCGCCGCGGCCUGCCGCGCGCCCCAAUGUCUCCGGCUGAGCCGUCCGUCUCGAAGCGUUGUGGCAACCCAAAUCGCUUACGGGAUCGGAGGACUUGACGCCGUCCUAACACACCACACCA